rnacentral:rRNA from 1 species
GAGAAAUUCCAAUCGAACCCGGAGAUAGCUGGUUCUCCCCGAAAUAGCUUUAGGGCUAGCGUCGGAAAGAACCUUAGUGAAGGUAGAGCACUGAAUGUGUGAUGGCCCCAUCCCGGGGUACUGAAUACAAUCAAACUGCGAAUGUCAUUAAGGAUGUCCGGCAGUCAGACUGUGAGUGAUAAGGUCCAUGGUCAAGAGGGAAACAGCCCAGACCGCCAGUUAAGGUCCCAAAAUACAGGCUAAGUGGAAAAGGAUGUGGGGAUGCCCAGACAACUAGGAGGUUGGCUCAGAAGCAGCCAUCCUUUAAAGAGUGCGUAACAGCUCACUAGUCGAGUGACCCUGCGCCGAAAAUGUACCGGGGCUAAGCCUGAUACCGAAACUGCGGAUUGUAGGAAACUAUAGUGGUAGGGGAGCGUUGUAUACGAGCAGAAGCCGUACCGUGAGGAGCGGUGGAUUGUAUAGAAGUGAGAAUGCCGGUGUGAGUAGCGAGAUGUAGGUGAGAAUCCUACACACCGAAAGCCCAAGGAUUCCAGGGGAAGGUUCGUCCGCCCUGGGUAAGUCGGGACCUAACGCGAGGCCGAAAGGCGUAGUGGAUGGAAAGCAGGCGAAAGAUUCCUGCACCCGUAUAUGGAGCGAAGGAGUGACGGAGACGGAUAGUGUGACCCUCUUAAUGGAUUGAGGGCGAAGCGAAGCGGCUGGUUACCAGGCAAAUCCGGUAACCAAAAGGCUAGAGCGUGACAGGUAAGCGAAAUCUUCGGAAAGUAGCGAAGCACAUGAUGACGGCUUCCAGGAAAAGCUUCUGGCAAUGCAUAUGCGGCCCGUACCAAAACCGACACAGGUGGGCAGGGAGAGAAUCCCGAGGUGAGCGAGAGAACUGUUGCCAAGGAACUCGGCAAAAUGACUCCGUAAGUUAGCGAGAAGGAGUGCUUAAGCAAUUAAGCCGCAGUGAAGAGGCCCAAGCGACUGUUUAACUAAAACACAGCUCUCUGCGAAGUCGCAAGACGAAGUAUAGGGGGUGACACCUGCCCGGUGCUGGAAGGUUAAGAGGAUCUGUUAAGAGCGAUCUGAAGCAGUGAUCCGAAGCCCCAGUGAACGGCGGCCGUAACUAUAACGGUCCUAAGGUAGCGAAAUUCCUUGUCAGGUAAGUUCUGACCCGCACGAAAGGUGUAACGAUUUGGGCGCUGUCUCGGCAGCAGACUCGGUGAAAUCUUAGUACCUGUGAAAAUGCAGGUUACCCGCAACUAGACGGAAAGACCCCAUGGAGCUUUACUGCAGCCUGAUAUUGAAUUCUGGUCAUACAUGUACAGGAUAGGUGGGAGACAAAGAGACGUGCACGCCAGUGUACGAGGAGUCGCCGUUGGGAUACCACUCUUGUGUGACCGGGGUUCUAACCUGGUAUCGAGAACAGGUACGGGGAGAGUGUCAGGUGGGCAGUUUGACUGGGGCGGUCGCCUCCCAAAGAGUAACGGAGGCGCCCAAAGGUACGCUCAGAUUGGAUGGAAACCAAUCGACGAGUGCAAUUGCAGAAGCGUGCUUGACUGUGAGACAGACAAGUCGAACAGGGACGAAAGUCGGGAAUAGUGAUCCGGCGGUGCCGAAUGGAAGGGCCGUCGCUCAACGGAUAAAAGCUACCCUGGGGAUAACAGGCUGAUCUCGCCCAAGAGUUCACAUCGACGGCGAGGUUUGGCACCUCGAUGUCGGCUCAUCGCAUCCUGGAGCUGGAUUCGGUUCCAAGGGUUGGGCUGUCCGCCCAUUAAAGCGGUACGCGAGCUGGGUUCAGAACGUCGUGAGACAGUUCGGUCCCUAUCUGUUGUGGGCGAAGGAGAUCUGCGGAGAGCUGUCCUCAGUACGAGAGGACCGGGAUGGACCUACCGCUGGUGCACCGGUUGUUCCGCCAGGGGCAUAGCCGGGUAGCUAAGUAGGGAAAGGAUAAGCGCUGAAAGCAUCUAAGCACGAAGCCUACUCCAAGAUGAGAUCUCCCAUUCGCAAGAAGUAAGACCCCUUAAAGACGAUAAGGUAGAUAGGCCAGGGAUGGAAGUGCAGUGAUGUACGGAGUUGACUGGUACUAAUCGGUCGAGGACUUAAUC